AAGCUUGGUGCUAUCUCUUCUUCUUAUUUUUCUUGUUUCUUUUGUGUUAGUGUUGAUUCUAGUGAAGAGAAUCGAUUUAACGAAUUAAUGUUUGAUUUACAAAGUUAUUUAUGGAUCACUGUUUAUCAAUUGUUGUGAAAGAUUGAGGACAUAUGGAAGUUUCUAGUCAGUGUUUAUCGCAAGGUUGUAAGUUUAGUGGAGAG
rnacentral:lncRNA from 1 species